CCUCCUUAGAGUUUGAUCCUGGCUCAGAUUGAACGCUGGCGGCAGGCCUAACACAUGCAAGUCGAGCGGAAACGAGUUGUCUGAACCUUCGGGGAACGAUAACGGCGUCGAGCGGCGGACGGGUGAGUAAUGCCUGGGAAAUUGCCCUGAUGUGGGGGAUAACCAUUGGAAACGAUGGCUAAUACCGCAUAAUAGCUUCGGCUCAAAGAGGGGGACCUUCGGGCCUCUCGCGUCAGGAUAUGCCCAGGUGGGAUUAGCUAGUUGGUGAGGUAAUGGCUCACCAAGGCGACGAUCCCUAGCUGGUCUGAGAGGAUGAUCAGCCACACUGGAACUGAGACACGGUCCAGACUCCUACGGGAGGCAGCAGUGGGGAAUAUUGCACAAUGGGCGCAAGCCUGAUGCAGCCAUGCUGGGUGUAUGAAGAAGGCCUUCGGGUUGUAAAGUACU
rnacentral:rRNA from 1 species